AGAGAUGAUUGAUACUGGGCCUCAAGGACCACAUACACAAUUUUAACCGUUGGCAAGUUUUGGUCAUUCUCUGGGACAAUUCUACGAACUUCUGGGCUGGUUUGGGUGAAUAGACCAUUGCCAACGGCAGCGCAUUUCACUCUCAGAGAGGAUUUUGAGCUACCAUUAUAACCAGCCUUCUUGGGAAGGAAAGAAUGAAGAAAAAGACGCUUUUGGGCAAGAGAAUGAAGCUGGUCAGGUUUAGAGCUUGGUAGAGUAAACGGUGAAGAUACUAAAGAAGCCAUUGAU
rnacentral:lncRNA from 1 species